CAACCGACAGAGAGAAAACCAAAAAGCAAGCCCAAAAAACAUGUCGGCCCUAACCUUAAUGGAACUGGCCCACUUAUGCUUGGCUAAACUUGAAUUGAAGUAGUUUUAGGUCCUUGCCUGAUUUUUAGCUUUAACAGGUUUCACAAAAAAAAAGGAAAAAACACGAUCAUUUGAAUACUGAUUCUGGUUCAGGUAGUGAGACAGAGAGCAGAAGAUGUACAGAUGUGUAGAGUGUGGAUUUGGAGUGAAGUCACUCUAUGUGCAAUACUCACCAGGGAAUAUUCGACUUAUGAAAUGUGAGAAUUGCAAAGCAGUUGCAGAUGAGUAUAUUGAAUGUGAAUUUAUGAUUAUGCUGAUUGAUUUGAUUCUGCAUAAGCCAAAAGCUUAUAGGCAUCUACUUUAUAAUGUGCUUAAUCAAGAAACUGUCAAUUUAGAGGGUUUGAUAUGGAAGUCUGCUAUCAGUUUUCUUCUUCUGGAUGCUUAUAGAAGUAUACUAUUGCAAAGGAAUGUGGAAGAGCAGGUUUCUUCCUUGAGCUUUCCGUCCUUGUUUUGGAGAUCUCAAAAGAUAUUCAUGGAUGUCUUUCUUGGAAACCUUACAUUCCUUUGUGUUUUUCUUCUUGCAACAAGGAUUUUACUGAAAGCAUCAGUUAGGGUCUCCAGGACUAGAGGCUUGUUGCCUGCUAUCCUUGUUUCAAGUUACUUCAAGAUCUUUCUAAUUGCAAUGAUGGUCUGGGAAUUUCCAUCUUCUGUGAUAUUCAUCAUUGAUUUAUUUGUUCUGUCUUCCAACAUAGUGGCAUUAAAAGUGCAUUGAACUUUGCAAAGCAUUUCUCUGGGAUCCACCAUCACACUGUUUAAAAAUCUUAAUAGAAGCCUGGCAUAGAAACCACUUGGAGUGCCUCGUGGACCUAAAUUGAUGGGAAGGAAUCGCUUGUCCUCCUGCCAAAAAAAUGAAAUUCAGGUGGAGAAGACUGCAACACUUUUCUUCAUCAGUCAGAGCCAUUUUUAUUAUAAUGUUAGAGCAUCUGAGAAAGCUUCCUACAUUGCCCACAAUGAAAGCGUCUUCAGAGAACAUCCACCUUUUGAAGAAAUAUCUUUCAAUCAGUCCAGCUACCAAUACUUUGUUUGAUGUCAUAAAAGAUGGAGGUUUCCUUCACUAACACAGCAACCACUUAACCAUUAUGUAAUAUUGUUGAAGGAUGUAUUGUGUGUUUAUGAUGCUCUAAGCAAUACACUAUGAAAUGUGGUUGUUCUUGGGACCAUGGGUGAGCAUGCUCUUAACACAGCAGGUUCUUCGUAAAUCAUGGGGGAGAAAUCAAGACCAUACAUUCUGCCUUACAAAGGCUAUUGCUUGCACAGUUUUUACUGUUGGUAAUGAGGGGAGGGCCUUGGUUGUAGAGUAAGUUGGGUUAAUUUUAGCUAUAAACGGAAUCUUGUUUUGUUCGUCAAAAUUAGCUCAAGGUAUAUGCAAUCCCUUCUGUUACUUAUUGACUUCCCAAGUCAUUGAGUUAUUUAACUCAAAUUCUGUCCCUUACAUACGCAAUUGCACUGUACUGGAUCAUUAUGGAGGUGAUAGAUUUUUUCUAUUAACUUAGAAUUAAGAGAAUUUGAAACCUGGGUAAGUAAAUAUAGAUCCUUCCGAAUUUCCUUGCUGUAGCAACCUCAGGUUGAACUUUUGGCUGAUCUUAACGUGAAGAAACUGUGUCAUUUGCUUAUUUGCGAAUGAUUGGGAGGCGAGAAGUUUUGCUUCAUAACAUGCUUUUGAUAAAACGAAAGAUGUUAUCACCGAGUCAGAUCUGGGUGGAUGUAUUGGAGCCUGCUUCUGUGCACAUGCCGCAAAGUUGCUUGCCACUCUGGUGCCUAUGGUAGGAUCGUCAGGAAACUGAAACAGCAGUAAUUAAUUGUAUGUUUUUAUUCUUGAAACAUGCAUGUACAAUUUCAUUGAAGUUGAAAAAAUAUUUUAUUUCCUUUUCCUGUC